rnacentral:rRNA from 1 species
AUUGAACGCUGGCGGCAGGCCUAACACAUGCAAGUCGAGCGGAUGAAGGGAGCUUGCUCCUGGAUUCAGCGGCGGACGGGUGAGUAAUGCCUAGGAAUCUGCCUGGUAGUGGGGGAUAACGUCCGGAAACGGGCGCUAAUACCGCAUACGUCCUGAGGGAGAAAGUGGGGGAUCUUCGGACCUCACGCUAUCUGAUGAGCCUAGGUCGUAUUAGCUAGUUGGUGGGGUAAAGGCCUACCAAGGCGACGAUCCGUAACUGGUCUGAGAGGAUGAUCAGUCACACUGGAACUGAGACACGGUCCAGACUCCUACGGGAGGCAGCAGUGGGGAAUAUUGGACAAUGGGCGAAAGCCUGAUCCAGCCAUGCCGCGUGUGUGAAGAAGGUCUUCGGAUUGUAAAGCACUGUAAGUUGGGAGGAAGGGCAGUAAGUUAAUACCUGGCUGUUUUGACGUUACCAACAGAAUAAGCACCGGCUAACUUCGUG